GUGGGGAAUAUUGGACAAUGGGCGAAAGCCUGAUCCAGCCAUGCCGCGUGUGUGAAGAAGGUCUUCGGAUUGUAAAGCACUUUAAGUUGGGAGGAAGGGCAGUAAGUUAAUACCUUGCUGUUUUGACGUUACCGACAGAAUAAGCACCGGCUAACUCUGUGCCAGCAGCCGCGGUAAUACAGAGGGUGCAAGCGUUAAUCGGAAUUACUGGGCGUAAAGCGCGCGUAGGUGGUUCGUUAAGUUGGAUGUGAAAGCCCCGGGCUCAACCUGGGAACUGCAUCCAAAACUGGCGAGCUAGAGUACGGUAGAGGGUGGUGGAAUUUCCUGUGUAGCGGUGAAAUGCGUAGAUAUAGGAAGGAACACCAGUGGCGAAGGCGACUACCUGGACUGAUACUGACACUGAGGUGCGAAAGCGUGGGGAGCAAACAGGAUUAGAAACCCUUGUAGUCC
rnacentral:rRNA from 1 species